GACGAACGCUGGCGGCGUGCUUAACACAUGCAAGUCGAACGGAAAGGCCCUGCUUUUGUGGGGUGCUCGAGUGGCGAACGGGUGAGUAACACGUGAGUAACCUGCCCUUGACUUUGGGAUAACUUCAGGAAACUGGGGCUAAUACCGGAUAGGAGCUCCUGCUGCAUGGUGGGGGUUGGAAAGUUUCGGCGGUUGGGGAUGGACUCGCGGCUUAUCAGCUUGUUGGUGGGGUAGUGGCUUACCAAGGCUUUGACGGGUAGCCGGCCUGAGAGGGUGACCGGCCACAUUGGGACUGAGGUACGGCCCAGACUCCUACGGGAGGCAGCAGUGGGGAGUAUUGCACAAUGGGCGGAAGCCUGAUGCAGCAACGCCGCGUGCGGGAUGACGGCCUUCGGGUUGUGAACCGCUUUCGCCUGUGACGAAGCGUGAGUGACGGUAAUGGGUAAAGAAGCACCGGCUAACUACGUG
rnacentral:rRNA from 1 species